rnacentral:lncRNA from 1 species
AGUUUUACCUCCAAGAGAGGAAAAAAACCCCAACACUGAAUUAUUUUUUUUCUGCAGCACCAAAAUCCAGUGUUCUUCUCUGGUUCCACAGACACCAAACUAUGCAACACAUCUUCUGCCCAGCUGUACCUGUGAGAUCUACUUUGUUCAGAGAAAACAAGAACCUUGCCAUGCAGGAAAAGCCCAAUCCACAAUGGUCAGCCUGUCCUGCUGACCAUAUGUGACAAUGGCAAAACUUCCUGUGGCAUCACAUACCAGACCAGGCUCUCAUGCUCCCAAUUCUACCAAAAGCCUUAAGAAAAUGGUAAAUCAAAUUCCUUGCCUCAGAGGGAAUUAAUUUCCCCUUUAGUCCAGUUAAAUAAUCUGUACCAGACAUUGCUUUUGGCCUUUAGACUCAUAAAAUCUGUCUGAGGGCUGUUGUGACUUCAUUUUCCUUUGUCUCUGAGGCACAGAAAAGAGCACCUUACUGUUGAGCUCUUGAAAAAAACCCCAAAACUUUUAUGAGUAUGAACUAGUAAGUGUUUUCAGACCUGAGUUUUUCUCACUCUACCAGGCUGUUGUCAUCUACUACAAGGUGAACAACACUGUGCAAUGAAGCCAUAACAGUCUUUGACAUCAACAUCCUGAAUCAUAAGAGAAGUUUUGUGGCAGCUUUGUUUACUUUUUGAUGGCAGAUUUUUAGUAAGUUACUGCAAAAAUUAAUUGCACCACUUUUGUGGCAAUCCCCAGAAAGAUCUAUUUUGAUGUUUCACUUCUUUUUUUUUAUGCUGGUCUCACAUUCCCUGAUUUUGGUGUAGCAAGUGGUUUCCUAUGGGGAGCCCAUAACUGCAUGAUCAAAGGUGUGAGGAUCAAGCCUGGAAACAUAAGCAGGUGAGUGUGGGACAGGUCGGCCUUGGGUAUGCACAGAGAAGGAGGAGGAAGAUGCAUACUUUGGGAUAAACAAAGGGAGUAUUUUGUCUCUAAAAGUAUUAGUAAUGAAAUAGUUAAUCACCAUUUUUACAUUUCAUAAUAUGUUAUAUUUCCCAGUGAUAAUGAACUACCAACAGUGUUGAUAGCAGUUGCUGUCUUGUUUUAGAGAUAACACUGCUUAGUCUGUGGAAAUCUUAUGUCCACUUUGGGGGUGGAGGUGAGAGAAACUUUCAAGUUAGCUUUGAGAAGCACCUCCCAAUUUGAAUUAAGUCUGAAAUCAUAUGUUAAAGGCCUUUUACAGCUUGUCUGAAUCUC